rnacentral:rRNA from 1 species
UACGUAGGGUGCAAGCGUUGUCCGGAAUUAUUGGGCGUAAAGAGCUCGUAGGCGGUCUGUCGCGUCCGCUGUGAAAACUCGAGGCUCAACUUCGAGCUGUCGGUGGAAACUUUCUGGCUAGAGUCCGGAAGAGGAGAAUGGAAUUCCUGGUGUAGCGGUGAAAUGCGCAGAUAUCAGGAAGAACACCCGUGGCGAAGGCGGUUCUCUGGGACGGUACUGACGCUGAGACACGAAAGCGUGGGGAGCGAUCCGG